rnacentral:lncRNA from 1 species
AAAGAAUUAUCCAGCCCCCGAUGCCAAUAGUGUCCAGCUGUGGUUCUGCAGUGCUGUGUUCCUAUACAACCAGCAGGUCUGUCCCCGGAACGGAAGGAAGCUGCUCCCAGCCCAGAUUUUGACUUUCAAUCUUUCCAACAAGCACUGAGCGUGUGGCAUCUACUGGGAGGAUUUGUGCUGAGGGCUGCAAGGGAAUAUGGAUAAAUCAGGCAACGUUUGCAACCUACGGAGGAGGGGGAAACAGAUGUGCAGCUAAUGGUGACUGUAACAAGACACAUGCCGUGGGGAGAGGUUUAAAUGGAGCUUUAGUGGAACGCAGAAGAGGGAACAAUUAAUUUCUAACUCAGCAAAGAUGAUUCAGGGAAGAGCUGGGAGAUGGGAGAGUUGGGCUCAGGAUUUCCUGGGAGACAUCCAGGUGGAAAGAGAGACACUUUCUAGGCAAAGGAAUGAACUGGAUGCUAAGGCAGGGGGGCGGGAGGGAGCCCAGGAGACUGGGAAUUCUGGGCAGGUGUUCUGGGAGGUGGGAAGGCCGCAAUGGGAAGACUGGAACAUGGGAUUGGAAGGAUCAGAGGACACCAAGUUUCAGGAUAAGGACUCUCCUUAUUGGAGAGCAGCAGCAGAUCGCUGAGCA